UGGCUUAAUUUGCUCAACGCGGGAAAACUCACCCGGCCCGGACACUGUGAGGAUUGACAGAUUGAAAGCUCUUUCUCGAUUCGGUGGGUGGUGGUGCAUGGCCGUUCUUAGUUGGUGGAGCGAUUUGUCUGGUUAAUUCCGAUAACGAACGAGACUCUAGCCUGCUAAAUAGUCGAGACGUAUUCUUUAGCGUCUUCUUGACUUCUUAGAGGGACAAGCGGCAACUAGUCGCACGAGAUUGAGCAAUAACAGGUCUGUGAUGCCC
rnacentral:rRNA from 1 species